rnacentral:lncRNA from 10 species
GGGAGCAGCAGCUGCCAGGGAUCUGCCCUGCUCCCCAGCCGCCCAACUUGGGAAUACUCCUGCAGGCUCUCCACUGCCCACAGAAAGAGCCUCUCCUACAAAAUGACCAGUGGGUGGAUGGAAACGCCAUAGGGGCUUCAGGAGAUCGUCUGGUCCCAUCCCUCUCUGAGCUGCUGCACAAGAUCUCUCUGUGAUGAGUGCGCUCCCAUGGAAGAAGUGUGCUGCCUGGAACAUCUGGCUGAACCUGAUGCUUGCACCUUCCCUGAAGCCAUAAAUCUUAGAGAAGGAGACUGAGGCCCAAGAAAGGAAAUAAACCAAAUAUACAAAGAAAAGGAAAUGAUAAACUUGUGACUAAACAUCAAAUUUGCUUCCAAAGUUCCCAGCCGCUUGAUAUCAGAGGGCAACAUGAUGUGCCGUAUAGACUUCAUUUUGGAGAAUUUAAUAUACCUGCUAGUUUUUCAGGUAUAUGUCCUUCCAGUGCCAACUGUAUAGCCUCUAUUCCAUUUCUUUUCCUUCAUAGCAAAUUUCAUUAUUUUUUAGAAACAAAAUUUUCUGAUUAUAAAAAUAAUAAAUGCUAAUUUAUUAACAACACAGGAAAAUGCAAAUUUUAAGAGGUUCUUCUGUAACUUUUGACAUUUUUAUGUAUUUCUUUCCUGCCUUUCUCUUUGCAUAUAAAUAAUAUACAUUAUACAUAACAACUUUAUAAUCAUAUUUAUAGCCUGGUGCUUUUUAUUGGAUUCAUUAUAAAUAUUCAUGUCAUUAAAAAUUUCUUUCAAAAUAUCAUGUACAUUGGCUGGAACAAUAUUCCACCAUGAAGACAUACCAUAAUUUAUUUAACAAUUCCUCUGUUGCUUGAUAUUCACACUGUUGCCAGCAUUUCUCUAUUAUAAAUAAAG